AUACGUAGGGGGCGAGCGUUGUCCGGAAUGAUUGGGCGUAAAGGGCGCGUAGGCGGCCCGGUAAGUCUGGAGUGAAAGUCCUGUUUUUAAGAUGGGAAUUGCUUUGGAUACUGUCGGGCUUGAGUGCAGGAGAGGUAAGUGGAAUUCCCAGGGUAGCGGUGAAAUGCGUAGAGAUUGGGAGGAACACCAGUGGCGAAGGCGACUUACUGGACUGUAACUGACGCUGAGGCGCGAAAGUGUGGGGAGCAAACAGGAUUAGAUACCCUGGUAGUCCACACUGUAAACGAUGAAUGCUAGGUGUAGGGGGUAUCGACCCCUUCUGUGCCGCAGUCAACACAAUAAGCAUUCCGCCUGGGGAGUACGGCCGCAAGGUUGAAACUCAAAGGAAUUGGCGGGG
rnacentral:rRNA from 1 species